rnacentral:rRNA from 1 species
CCUACGGGUGACAGCAGUGGGGAAUAUUUCACAAUGGGGGCAACCCUGACGCAGCAACGCCGCGUGAGGGAAGAAGGCUUUCGGGUUGUAAACUUCUUUUCUCAGGGACGAAGCAAGUGACGGUACCUGAGCAAGAAGCCACGGCUAACUACGUGCCAGCAGCCGCGGUAAUACGUAGGUGGUAAGCGUUAUCCGGAUUUACUGGGGGGAAAGGGCGUGUAGGCGGGAAAGCAAGUCAGAUGUGAAAACCAUGGGCUCAACCUGUGGCCUGCAUUUGAAACUGUUUUUCUUGAGUACUGGAGAGGCAGACGGAAUUCCUAGUGUAGCGGUGAAAUGCGUAGAUAUUAGGAGGAACACCAGUGGCGAAGGCGGUCUGCUGGACAGCAACUGACGCUGAGGCGCGAAAGCGUGGGGAGCAAACAGGAUUAGAUACCCCGGUAGUC